AUGGCCGAGACGGUGUUCGCUCCGUGUUUGGAAGGGAUGAAGCAUGUCAGGUCGGACAGCGGGGUCAUGCUCGCCAAGCCCUUCCUUGAUGUCUGCAAGCAAAUCUUGCCUGUCCUGGAUAAAUUUGGUGCUGCUAUGGCAAUUGUGAAGAGUGAUAUUGGAGGUAAUAUCACGAGGUUGGAGAACAAGUAUUCUUCAGACCCGUCAAAAUAUGAGCACUUGUACACCAUGGUCCAAGAAGAAGUUGAAAAGAAGACCGCAAAGGGUUCAUCAAGCUGCACAAAUGGACUUCUAUGGCUCACGAGGGCUAUGGACUUCCUUGUUGAACUGUUCCGUAAUCUACUUGACCAUCCAGACUGGACUAUGAGUCAAGCAUGUACUGAUUCAUACACAAAAACUCUGAAGAAAUGGCAUGGGUGGCUCGCCAGUUCCAGUUUUACGGUGGCUAUGAAGCUUGCUCCUAACAAAGAUAAAUUUAUGGAGGUAAUUAGCGGAACGGGUGAUAUCAAAGCAGACAUUGAGAAAUUCUGCACCACCUUUUAUCCCUUUCUCAAGGAGAAUCAUGACUUCCUGGCCAGUGUUGGGCUCGAUGAUAUGAAGGCUUCUUAA
rnacentral:rRNA from 1 species